UUGCUGUGAUGACGAUCUUAGGACACCUUUGGAUUAACCAUGAAAUAAAACAUGUUCUGAGCAAC